rnacentral:rRNA from 1 species
CCCUUAGAUGUCCUGGGCCGCACGCGCGCUAUACUGAUGCAUGCAACGAGUUUAUAACCUUGGCCUGAAAGGUCUGGGUAAUCUUUUGAACGUGCAUCGUGAUAGGGAUAGAUUAUUGCAAUUGUUAAUCUUGAACGAGGAAUUCCUAGUAAACGCGAGUCAUCAGCUCGCAUUGAUUACGUCCCUGCCCUUUGUACACACCGCCCGUCGCACCUACCGAUUGAAUGGUUCGGUGAAGAUCUCGGACUUCGAUAUUUAUUCUUUAUUGAGUUUAUAUUGUGGGAAGUUAUCUAAACCUCAUCAUUUAGAGGAAGGUGAAGUCGUAACA